CACAUAGAACAUUCUUGCAAGGUACCUGAAGAAAGGUCAAUUUGAGAAAGAUAUAUGCCAGGUGAGCUGUCAUGAGAUGAUCAGCUUUGCUUUACUGACUGCUCCUGCCAUGGUGCCCUGCCUUACCCCAGCCUCAAACGCAAUGCAUCCAAGUGACCAUGGACUGAAACUUCGAAAACUAAGUCAUCUCUCACAGAAGUGCAACUAUUUUGGAGUCAUUAAACUACGAUGUGACCAAGCCAAGUGGCAAUUCCCUGAGAGGCUGAAAAGACAAGUAAAGAGGGAGAGGAGAAAUGAAGCCACCUUAUGUGGACAUCCCAUAGGAGCCUUCAGAUGACUUUAGUCCUACUGCUAUUUGACUUGUAAUCACCUGAGAGACCUGUAUCACGAAAUAAAACUGGUCAAACCACCAAACUAUGGAAUAAA